GAUGAACGCUGGCGGCGUGCCUAAUACAUGCAAGUCGAGCGAACAGAUAAGGAGCUUGCUCCUUUGACGUUAGCGGCGGACGGGUGAGUAACACGUGGGUAACCUACCUAUAAGACUGGGAUAACUUCGGGAAACCGGAGCUAAUACCGGAUAACAUUUGGAACCGCAUGGUUCUAAAGUGAAAGAUGGUUUUGCUAUCACUUAUAGAUGGACCCGCGCCGUAUUAGCUAGUUGGUAAGGUAACGGCUUACCAAGGCGACGAUACGUAGCCGACCUGAGAGGGGGAUCGGCCACACUGGAACUGGAACGCGGUCCAGACUCCUACGGGAGGCAGCAGUAUGGAAUCUUCCGCAAUGGGCGAAAGCCUGACGGAGCAACGCCGCGUGAGUGAUGAAGGGUUUCGGCUCGUAAAACUCUGUUAUUAGGGAAGAACAAACGUGGAAGUAACUGUGCACGUAUUGACGGUACCGAAUCAGAAAGCCACGGCUAACUACGUG
rnacentral:rRNA from 1 species